rnacentral:hammerhead_ribozyme from 1 species
AUCCAUCUGAAGAGUUCGAAAAAGGACGAAACGCGCGUUCUAAAU